rnacentral:piRNA from 1 species
UAAGAUCCUCGGACCCAUAUACCCAUUAAG